GAACUGGUAGUGCAAUGGUCUAGAAUACUUAAACACUCUCCUCUCAAGCUACAAUUUACGUGUAUGAACAACGAGUGAGGGACAGAGGUUCGAAUCCUCUCCAGCUAG